GGUCCGAGAAUGUGGUCGGGUUUCACUCGGCCCUCUUUCAACUGCGGGCUUGUCGGAGUCGCCCGCAUGCCGCUCCUUCGCAGCUUCCUCGUCCUUCAGUUUGAAGGCUUCCUCCGUUCGGGCAUAUCCUUUGGCCCGAGCCAGUAGAUCGGCAAAGUCUCUGGGAUACUUCUUUUCCAGGGAGAAGAGAAGGUCAUUCUUUUGAAGGC
rnacentral:lncRNA from 1 species